rnacentral:lncRNA from 1 species
GUGCGGACCUUUAUAAAUCUUUACUUUAAAAAAUGAACUACCUUUCGGUUGAGAGGCAUGUAAUCUCCAUGAGCAAGAAUCGACCACACAUUUCACAGUAUAUCUAGUUGUAUUUGACUUAACAACUUUAAGUUGCACAUUCUGUGCAAUGUGCCAAGCAUCCAAAGCGUUCACUAGAGAUGAUUUAUCAGAAAAAGUCCGAUUAGCCCAUGCUUUAUCACUUGGAGGACCCUGAUCAAUAUUUUGUUCAUUACAUGCAUCAACAACGCUUUGAUUAAUUAUUUCAUUACC